GACGAACGCUGGCGGCGUGCUUAACACAUGCAAGUCGAACGGAAAGGCCCUGCUUUUGUGGGGUGCUCGAGUGGCGAACGGGUGAGUAACACGUGAGUAACCUGCCCUUGACUUUGGGAUAACUUCAGGAAACUGGGGCUAAUACCGGAUAGGAGCUCCUGCUGCAUGGUGGGGGUUGGAAAGUUUCGGCGGUUGGGGAUGGACUCGCGGCUUAUCAGCUUGUUGGUGGGGUAGUGGCUUACCAAGGCUUUGACGGGUAGCCGGCCUGAGAGGGUGACCGGCCACAUUGGGACUGCGAUACGGCCCAGACUCCUACGGGAGGCAGCAGUGGGAAAUAUUGCACAAUGGGCGGAAGCCUGAUGCAGCAACGCCGCGUGCAGGAUGCCGGCCUUCGGGUUGUAAACCGCUUUCGCCUGUGACGAAGCGUGAGUGACGGUAAUGGGUAAAGAAGCACCGGCUAACUACGUG
rnacentral:rRNA from 1 species